rnacentral:rRNA from 1 species
UACGUAGGUGGCGAGCGUUGUCCGGAUUUACUGGGCGUAAAGGGAGCGUAGGCGGACUUUUAAGUGAGAUGUGAAAUACCCGGGCUCAACUUGGGUGCUGCAUUUCAAACUGGAAGUCUAGAGUGCAGGAGAGGAGAAUGGAAUUCCUAGUGUAGCGGUGAAAUGCGUAGAUAUCGGGAGGAACAUCGGUGGCGAAGGCGGGUAACUGGACUGCAACUGACGCUGAGGCGCGAAAGUGUGGGGAGCAAACAGGAUUAGAUACCCCGGUAGU